CUAUUUAUGAGGUUUUGCAUGACAUUUUGAUUCUUUCCUUACAUUUUCUUUAUAGAUAUUCAAGAAUUUUAUGAGGUGACACUACUAAAUUCCCAAAAAAGUUGUGAACAAAAGAUUGAAGAAGCCAAUCAAGUUGCACAGAAAUGGGAUAAGACAUCUAUUCUUGCUUCAUGCCAUGACAGUCUUCAAAAAUCUGCAGAGGAUAAGGAUGUUCAUUUCCUCCAGGCUAGGAAGGGUGACUCUGGGAUGAACCUACUCCAGAAG
rnacentral:lncRNA from 1 species